rnacentral:rRNA from 1 species
UACGUAGGUGGCAAGCGUUGUCCGGAAUUACUGGGUGUAAAGGGCGUGUAGGCGGGAAGGCAAGUCAGAUGUGAAAGCCCAUGGCUUAACUGUGGAACUGCAUCUGAAACUGUUUUUCUUGAGUACUGGAGAGGAAAGUGGAAUUCCUAGUGUAGCGGUGAAAUGCGUAGAGAUUAGGAGGAACACCAGUGGCGAAGGCGGCUUUCUGGACAGUAACUGACGCUGAGGCGCGAAUGCGUGGGGAGCAAACAGGAUUAGAUACCCU